rnacentral:rRNA from 2 species
AGAGUUUGAUCAUGGCUCAGGAUGAACGCUAGCGGCAGGCUUAAUACAUGCAAGUUGAGGGGCAGCAUGAUAUACGCGAGUAUAUUGAUGGCGACCGGCGGACGGGUGAGUAAAAGGUAGGAGACCUACCUCAUACAGGGGGAUAGCAUAGAGAAAUCUGUGGUAAUACCCCAUGAGGUUAUAUGAAUAGAGGCAUAUAAUCAAAGUAUACGAGAGUAUGCGGUAUGAGAUGGGCCUACUGACCAUUAGCUAGUUGGUGAGGUAAGGGCUCACCAAGGCGAAGAUGGUUAGGGGUUUUGAGAGAGAGAUCCCCCACAUUGGAACUGAGAUACGGUCCAGACUCCUACGGGAGGCAGCAGUAGGGAAUAUUGGGCAAUGGGCGGAAGCCUGACCCAGCCAUGCCGCGUGAAGGAAGACGGCCUUAUGGGUUGUAAACUUCUUUACUAUACGAAUAGAGGUUAGUACGAGAUACUAAUAGGAAGGUAGUAUAGCAAAAAGCACCGGCUAACUCCGUGCCAGCAGCCGCGGUAAUACGGAGGGUGCAAGCGUUAUUCGGAAUUACUGGGUUUAAAGGGUGCGUAGGCGGUUAUAUAAGUUGUCAGUGAAAGGCUACGGCUCAACUGUAGUAGUGCUGGCGAUACUGUAUAGCUAAGAACAUGGGAGGGGUACCUGGAAUGUGUGGUGUAGCGGUGAAAUGCAUAGAUAUCACACAGAACACCGGAGGCGAAGGCGGGGUACUAGACCAUAGUUGACGCUGAGGCACGAAAGCGUGGGGAGCAAACAGGAUUAGAUACCCUGGUAGUCCACGCCCUAAACGAUGAUCACUAGAUAUUGGCGACAGACAGUCAGUGUCCAAGCGAAAGUGAUAAGUGAUCCACCUGGGGAAUACGGCCGCAAGGUUAAAACUCAAAUGAAUUGACGG